CUGCAUUGUGGAGAAGCUCCCUUGCCGGCUGCAGCAUUGCAUUUUACCCGUAAUUCUGCGUGCGAAGAUCCAAACGAAGACGACGGAGUCGUAAGUAUUUAAGGUGUAUACCGUUCGGUUGGGUGGGAUUCGGUUGCCUCUGUGUGUAAGAGUGUGAGUGAGACGGAACCUAGUU